rnacentral:rRNA from 1 species
UACGUAGGGAGCAAGCGUUGUCCGGAAUCAUUGGGCGUAAAGGCGCGCGUAGGUGGCCUCAUAAGUCCGCUGUGAAAGUCAAAGGCUCAACCUUUGAAAGCCGGUGGAUACUGUGUAGGCUAGAGUACGGAAGGAGGCGAAGUGGAAUUCCUGGUGUAGCGGUGGAAUGCGCAGAUAUCAGGAGGAACACCAUAGCGAAGGCAGGCUCGCUGGGACGUUACUGACACUGAGGCGCGAAAGCGUGGGGAGCGAACAGG